rnacentral:lncRNA from 1 species
UGGGGGUUGUGCGGGGCGGGGGGCAGGGGACCCGCCCUCUCUCCAAACACUAGCAGGGCCGGGGCGCCUGGGCAGGCACGUGUCCGGGCACAACCCGCUGCCCACGCUGCCCCCCCACUCCCGCCCCCCCCGCUCUGGCCAGGACACGUCGCUCUCUUACUUGGGUGGGGUGGGAGGAGGGGAGAGAAAGCUGGAAAUGGAAAGCAGCGCCCCCCACCCCUCUGAAUGGCCAACCUCGGCCAGCGGUGCGCACUAGGUUUCUACCACACAGCGACCCCCACUCUGCUCAGGGCAGGUGCGCCGGCGCCGGCGGCAAGACCGCUGGUAGGUCGAGUUCUUAUCACCCACCCUCGCACUGGAGUUGUGAGAGCAAAAGCUGACUUUGAAAAGGUGGCGGUGGGCCUGAGGCUUGAGAGACCGGAAUGUGAUUGCGGAGCGGGAGGGGCAGAGGGGUCGUCCUGCUGAGCCGCACUACCGCUGGAGAGACGACGCGGCUCUGGAAGCGCAAGAAACCGAAUAGUCCAGCCGGAAAAUGGGAGGGCUGGUGAGAUGGCUC